GAUGAACGCUAGCUACAGGCUUAACACAUGCAAGUCGAGGGGCAGCAUGGUCUUAGCUUGCUAAGGCCGAUGGCGACCGGCGCACGGGUGAGUAACACGUAUCCAACCUGCCGUCUACUCUUGGACAGCCUUCUGAAAGGAAGAUUAAUACAAGAUGGCAUCAUGAGUCCGCAUGUUCACAUGAUUAAAGGUAUUCCGGUAGACGAUGGGGAUGCGUUCCAUUAGAUAGUAGGCGGGGUAACGGCCCACCUAGUCUUCGAUGGAUAGGGGUUCUGAGAGGAAGCUCCCCCACAUUGGAACUGAGGCCCGGUCCAAACUCCUACGGGAGGCAGCAGUGAGGAAUAUUGAUCAAUGGGCGCAGGCCUGAACCAGCCAAGUAGCGUGAAGGAUGACUGCCCUCUGGGUUGUAAACUUCUUUUAUAAAGGAAUAAAGUCGGGUAUGUAUACCCGUUUGCAUGUACUUUAUGAAUAAGGAUCGGCUAACUCCGUG
rnacentral:rRNA from 1 species